rnacentral:rRNA from 1 species
CACGGGGGGAGCAAGCGUUGUUCGGAAUCACUGGGCGUAAAGGGCGUGUAGGCGGUCAGGUAAGUGAGACGUGAAAUGCCCCGGCUUACCCGGGGACCUGCGUCUCAUACUGCUUGGCUUGAGUACGGGAGAGGGUGUGGGAAUUCCUGGUGUAGCGGUGAAAUGCGUAGAUAUCCGGAGGAACACCGGUGGCGAAGGCGGCUUCCUGGACCGACACUGACGCUGAGGCGCGAAAGCUAGGGGAGCAAACGGG